rnacentral:rRNA from 1 species
GUAGGUGGCAAGCGUUGUCCGGAAUUAUUGGGCGUAAAGCGCGCGCAGGCGGUUCUUUAAGUCUGAUGUGAAAGCCCACGGCUCAACCGUGGAGGGUCAUUGGAAACUGGAGAACUUGAGUACAGAAGAGGAAAGCGGAAUUCCACGUGUAGCGGUGAAAUGCGUAGAGAUGUGGAGGAACACCAGUGGCGAAGGCGGCUUUCUGGUCUGUAACUGACGCUGAGGCGCGAAAGCGUGGGGAGCAAACAGGGAUUAGAUACCCUGGUAGUCCACGCCGUAAACGAUGAGUGCUAAGUGUUAGGGGGGGUUUUCCGGCCCCCCUUAGUGCUGCAGCUAACGCAUUAAGCACUCCGCCCUGGGGAGUACGGCCGCAAGGCUG